rnacentral:rRNA from 1 species
CCUACGGGGGGCAGCAGUGGGGAAUAUUGCACAAUGGGGGAAACCCUGAUGCAGCGACGCCGCGUGAGUGAAGAAGUAUCUCGGUACGUAAAGCUCUAUCAGCAGGGAAGAAAAUGACGGUACCUGACUAAUACUCCCCGGCUAACUCCGUACCAGCAGCCGCGGUAAUACGGAGGGGGCAAGCGUUAUCCGGAUUUACUGGGUGUAAAGGGAGCGUAGACGGCAGCACAAGUCUGGAGUGAAAUCCCGGGGCUUAACCCCGGAACUGCUUUGGAAACUGUGCGGCUGGAGUGCAGGAGGGGUAAGCGGAAUUCCUAGUGUAGCGGUGAAAUGCGUAGAUAUUAGGAGGAACACCGGUGGCGAAGGCGGCUUACUGGAAUGUAACUGACGUUGAGGCUCGAAAGCGUGGGGAGCAAACAGGAUUAGAUACCCCUGUAGUC